ensembl:snRNA U6 U6 spliceosomal RNA
AUCAGAAGGGUUUAGUGCCUACUAAAACUGGAACGGGUACAGAGAAGAUUAGCAUGGCCCCUGGGCAAGGAUGACAUGCAAAUUCGAGACACGUUCCAUAUUUUU